AGUGAACGCUGGCGGCAGGCCUAACACAUGCAAGUCGAGCGGCAGCGGGUCCUUCGGGCUGCCGGCGAGCGGCGGACGGGUGAGGAAUACAUCGGAAUCUGCCCUGUCGUGGGGGAUAACCUAGGGAAACUUAGGCUAAUACCGCAUACGACCUACGGGUGAAAGCGGGGGAUCGCAAGACCUCGCGCGACAGGAUGAGCCGAUGUCCGAUUAGCUAGUUGGCGGGGUAAAGGCCCACCAAGGCGACGAUCGGUAGCUGGUCUGAGAGGAUGAUCAGCCACACUGGGACUGAGACACGGCCCAGACUCCUACGGGAGGCAGCAGUGGGGAAUAUUGGACAAUGGGCGCAAGCCUGAUCCAGCCACGCCGCGUGGGUGAAGAAGGCCUUCGGGUUGUAAAGCCCUUUUGUCCGGGAAGAAAUCGUCUGGGCUAAUACCCCGGGCGGAUGACGGUACCGGAAGAAUAAGCACCGGCUAACUUCGUG
rnacentral:rRNA from 1 species